rfam:Clostridium sp. CAG:7 genomic scaffold, scf278
AGCACAGCGUGUGACUGGCGGAAAGUGGAUCAACCACAGGGAGCACGCAGGAAGUGAGAGCCGUCCGCCUGGGCACGAAAU